UUGCCACUAUAUAAUACUUAAUCUAAAUUAACAUCUUAAACCCUUUCAAACUCCUUAUAAAAUAGGAUGAAGGGAAUAUUUGGUUUACAAGCUCUUCAUGAGUAUCGAUAUUUUUUAGACUCAAAUUUGUUCUUGCCUCUGCUUUUACUACUUCGCUUUGGACUUUUAGAUACUUCAUACUAAGGUUGAUCUGUUUUGAUCAUGUUCAGGCUAUUCUAAAAGUAUUGAAAAGCCUGAUGAAGCUCAAAGUGAAUCAACGCUGUCGAGUCACGAGCAUGAUUGCACUUACCAGGGAAACCACAAACAAAUUGCUUAUGCACCUUUUGGGUACUCUGAUCCUUCCUUACUGUCUUGCUGCUUGUGGACAAUAUAAUGCUCUACGGUUUAUCCACAAAUGUUAGGCCCCAUAUCUGCUCGAGUGCCACUUCCUCUUGACUAUCAGCAAGAUGAGCCAAUAUUUGUCAAUGCAAAACAGUACCAGGCUACUGUCAGGCGGAGAGAGUAUCGUGCAAAGCUGGAGGCUCAGAAUAAACUCUCAA